GCCACCUUGGGAUGCAGCAGAGUACAAUCAACUCAUUUCUUCAGGGCCAUUGCUGCCACUACUAGAGCACUACGCGGGCAUCGGUUCUUAUGACCAAACCACAAUCAGGGGGCAGCAUGGCAAGUUUCGUCACAGGGCGCUAACGCUGACAAAUGUACGGGCAACCAACUUCAGCUAGCUAAUGUGGCAAAUCAAGGACCUUCAUGCAGCACGUGGUAUCAGGCAGCAA